rnacentral:rRNA from 1 species
AAGUAUUAUACGGCGAAACUGCGAAUGGCUCAUUAAAUCAGUUAUAGUUUAUUUGAUAAUCGAAAGUUACAUGGAUAACCGUGACAAAUUACAGCUAAUACAUGCAGUCAGACCUGGUCCAAGGGUCGUAAUUAUUAGAUAUUAAACCAAUUCCUCCGGGAUUGUGAUGAAUCAUAGUAAUCGAACGAAUCGCAGCAUGCUGCGAUAAAUCAUUCAAGUUUCUGCCCUAUCAGCUUUGGAUGGUAGUGUAUUGGACUACCAUGGCAGUCACGGGUAACGGAGAAUUAGGGUUCGAUUCCGGAGAGGGAGCCUGAGAAACGGCUACCACAUCUACGGAAGGCAGCAGGCGCGAAAAUUGCCCAAUCCUGAUUCAGGGAGGCAGUGACAAGAAAUAACUACCCUAGGAUUUCUUAGGAGUGUAAUGAGGAUAAUUUACAAACCUUACCGAAAGCAAUUGGAGGGCAAGUCUGGUAAACUUUUUUCACUUAUUGCCAGAUGUAACAUAACAAAUAAAGUAGAUAAAAUUCUGCUGAUAAGUUGCAUAACAAGUCUAAUAAGAGUAAUUUAUCAAUACUUUAAUUUCAAGAUCAGUAUUUGCACCAAUACUACGAGACAAUGAAGAUCGUAAAAACUUAAGGGAUUAAUCCCAAUUUAGAGUGUAAGUUGGUUCCUGCUUAAGAUGGAAGAUGUUCCGUCAACAGCAAGAAAGUUUUUUACGGUUAUCAACUUGCUGCUUUUAUUAAAUUUGGAAGACUUAAACUUGAAAAGGUUUAUGCAAAUAAAAAUAGCAAGUAAGCGUUGUGUAUUUCUCAUAUUUGUGGUACGCGAAAUUGUGUGAAUGAGGAACAUAUUGCUAUUGAAUCCAAAUAGACAAAUGAUCAGAGGACACACUGCCAUUAUAAUAUGAGAAAUGUUGGAAAAUAGCUGAUCAAGUAGUAUUGUAAAUUGAACAAGAAGUUCAAAUACUGCAAACACGAGCCAGCUUGUUGUUUUGCUGAUUGAUAGCUUCAUAUCAUUAACUUAGAUUUGUUUUGUUACUUUGACGUUUGUUAUUUUGCAGAAAGUUGAGAUGAGAUCCAACUGUACAAUCGUAAAUUGCGGGAAACUCCUAAAGCCUAUUCUACCGCAGCAUUAUCAAUAAAAAGAUAAUGUGUAGCAGGUGAAGUAAUGUUCACUGGAUGGUAAAAACGAAUAGGAUGAUCAGCCCUCAAGAUCGCAAUGGACAAUCCGCAGCCAAGCUCUCUAAUGGGGAGAAGGUUCAGAGACUAUAAUCGAUUGGGCGCAAGCUUAAGGUAUAGUCCACUCCCACUUCGAAAGGAGUGCUUUUAAGUUAUUAAGGAUUCUCAAUCCCUAGGGCUUAAAAGUUCCGUUUGACUAUAGAACUAAAUAUCUAUAGAAGGAAGGUAUAAAGGGCCAGCAGCCGCGGUAAUUCCAGCUCCAAUAGCGUAUAUUAAAGUUGUUGCAGUUAAAAAGCUCGUAGUUGAAAUUCUGGUUGCUAAGGCUUCUAGUCUUCGGACGGAAGUGCUUACAGCCAUCCGCUUGUAAAUAUAUUCUCGCUCUUCACCGGGCGGUUAUAUGAGCAAGCAUUUUACCUUGAGAAAAACAGAGUGUUCCAGGCAGGUUUGUCCGGAAUGCAUUAGCAUGGAAUAAUAGAAUAUGACUGAGGUCUAUUUAUUGGUUUAAGGCCACAGUAAUGAUUAAUAGGAACAGUCGGGGGCAUUGGUACUUGACAGUCAGAGGUGAAAUUCUUGGAUUUGUCAAAGACUAACUGAUGCGAAAGCGUUUGUCAAGGAUGUUUUCAUUAAUCAAGAACGAAAGUUAGGGGAUCAAAGACGAUCAGAUACCGUCCUAGUCUUAACUAUAAACUAUACCGACUCGGAUUCAGAUGAAUCGUAAAGUUCAUUUGGGACCGUAGGAGAAAUCAAAGUCUUUGGGUUCUGGGGGGAGUAUGGUCGCAAGGCUGAAACUUAAAGGAAUUGACGGUUUUGCACCACCAUGGAGUGGAGCCUGCGGCUUAAUUUGACUCAACACUGGGAAACUCACCAGGGCAAGAAGAUUGUAGGAUUGACAGAUUGAGAGUUCUUUCUUGAUUGGUCUAGUGGUGGUGCAUGGCCGUUCUUAGUUGGUGGAGUGAUUUGUCUGGUUAAUUCCGUUAACGAACGAGACCUUAACCUGCUAAAUAGUACAAGUAUUCCAAAUGCUUGUUACUUCUUAGAGGGACUAUGUGUUGUAAACACAUGGAAGUUUGAGGCAAUAACAGGUCUGUGAUGCCCUUAGAUGUCCUGGGCCGCACGCGUGCUACAAUGACAUAUUCAACGAGUAUUUCCUGAUCCGAAAGGAUUUGGGUAAUCUUUUUAGUGUAUGUCGUGUUAGGGAUAGAUCUUUGUAAUUAUGGAUCUUGAACGAGGAAUUCCUAGUAAGCGCAAGUCAUCAGCUUGUGCUGAUUACGUCCCUGCAAAAUGUACACACCGCCCGUCGCUAUUGCCGAUUGAGUGCUCAGGUGAACCUUCUUGAUUGUUGCAAAAUGAAAAAUUAAGUAAACCUUAGCACUUAGAGGGAAUAAAAGUCGUAACAAGGUUUCC